rnacentral:piRNA from 1 species
UGCGCUGAGCAAGAUCUCCAAGACCCUGUC